rnacentral:rRNA from 1 species
GAUGAACGCUAGCGGGAGGCUUAACACAUGCAAGUCGAGGGGCAUCACGAGGUAGCAAUACUUUGGUGGCGACCGGCAGACGGGUGAGUAACGCGUAUGCAACCUACCCUGUACAGGGGGAUAACCCGGAGAAAUUCGGACUAAUAUCCCAUAAUAUUAUUUGGAGGCAUCUUCGGAUAAUUAAAGUUCCGGCGGUACGGGAUGGGCAUGCGUAACAUUAGCUAGUUGGUAAGGUAACGGCUUACCAAGGCUUUGAUGUUUAGGGGUCCUGAGAGGGUGGUCCCCCACACUGGUACUGAGACACGGACCAGACUCCUACGGGAGGCAGCAGUGAGGAAUAUUGGUCAAUGGGCGCAAGCCUGAACCAGCCAUCCCGCGUGCAGGAAGACGGCCCUAUGGGUUGUAAACUGCUUUUCCGAAAGGCGAAACUCAGCGACGUGUCGUUGAUUGACGGUAUUUCGGGAAUAAGCAUCGGCUAACUCCGUGCCAGCAGCCGCGGUAAUACGGAGGAUGCGAGCGUUAUCCGGAUUCAUUGGGUUUAAAGGGUGCGUAGGCGGACUAAUAAGUCAGUGGUGAAAUCCUGCAGCUUAACUGCAGAACUGCCAUUGAUACUGUUAGUCUUGAGUUUGGU